GACUGAGACACGGCCCAGACUCCUACGGGAGGCAGCAGUGGGGAUUUUCCGCAAUGGGCGAAAGCCUGACGGAGCAAGACCGCGUGAGGGAGGAAGGCUCUUGGGUUGUAAACCUCUUUUCUCAGGGAAGAAGCUCUGACGGUACCUGAGGAAUCAGCCUCGGCUAACUCCGUGCCAGCAGCCGCGGUAAUACGGAGGAGGCAAGCGUUAUCCGGAAUUAUUGGGCGUAAAGCGUCCGCAGGUGGCGAUUCAAGUCUGCUGUCAAAGCACGGGGCUUAACUCCGUUAAGGCAGUGGAAACUGAAUAGCUAGAGUGCCGUAGGGGUAGAGGGAAUUCCCGGUGUAGCGGUGAAAUGCGUAGAGAUCGGGAAGAACAUCAGUGGCGAAAGCGCUCUACUGGACGGCAACUGACACUCAGGGACGAAAGCUAGGGGAGCGAAUGGGAUUAGAUACCCCAGUAGUCCUAGCUGUAAACGAUGGAUACUAGGUGUAGCUUGUAUCGACCCGAGCUGUGCCGAAGCUAACGCGUUAAGUAUCCCGCCUGGGGAGUACGCACGCAAGUGUGAAACUCAAAGGAAUUGACGGGGGCCCGCACAAGCGGUGGAGUAUGUGGUUUAAUUCGAUGCAACGCGAAGAACCUUACCAGGGCUUGACAUGUCCGGAAUCCCGGUGAAAGCUGGGAGUGCCUUCGGGAGCCGGAACACAGGUGGUGCAUGGCUGUCGUCAGCUCGUGUCGUGAGAUGUUGGGUUAAGUCCCGCAACGAGCGCAACCCUCGUCUUUAGUUGCCAGCAUUAAGUUGGGCACUCUAGAGAGACUGCCGGUGACAAACCGGAGGAAGGUGGGGAUGACGUCAAGUCAGCAUGCCCCUUACGCUCUGGGCGACACACGCACUACAAUGGUCGGGACAGAGGGCAGCGGACCUGCGAAGGCAAGCUAAUCCCAGCAAACUCGGCCUCAGUUCAGAUCGCAGGCUGCAACUCGCCUGCGUGAAGGAGGAAUCGCUAGUAAUCGCCGGUCAGAAUACGGCGGUGAAUCCGUUCCCGGGCCUUGUACACACCGCCCGUCACACCAUGGAAGCUGGCCACGCCCGAAGUCGUUACCCUAACCUUUCGGGGAAGGGGACGCCGAAGGCAGGGUUGGUGACU
rnacentral:rRNA from 1 species